GUCCGAGUCAGGCGCGUAAGGCGCGUGCAGGUGUUCCCUAGAAGAGGAGAAAGAAGACCGAGUCUCGAAGCUACAGCGGCAAAGUGAAGGCAGGAAUGCCGGCAGUUCGGCUCCCGCAGUUCUUAUUCACCGAUGAGCAGUUUUCUUCUGACCGAUUUGUGUGAUAAUUUUGUUCACAGACUGUCGGCAGCGUGACAACCAUGGAACAGUAUGCAGAAGUGCCAGAGCUGCUUGGAAGAGACACUGUUGGGGGGGGAAACUCUGUAGUCCCUCCGUUUCGGAAUUCAAACUCUACGCUGAUGGCAUACAACUUGCUAGGGUAGUUGCGCACUCAUAAAACAAAAGUAAACUGCA